AUUGAACGCUGGCGGCAGGCCUAACACAUGCAAGUCGAGCGGAUGAAGGGAGCUUGCUCCUGGAUUCAGCGGCGGACGGGUGAGUAAUGCCUAGGAAUCUGCCUGGUAGUGGGGGAUAACGUCCGGAAACGGGCGCUAAUACCGCAUACGUCCUGAGGGAGAAAGUGGGGGAUCUUCGGACCUCACGCUAUCAGAUGAGCCUAGGUCGGAUUAGCUAGUUGGUGGGGUAAAGGCCUACCAAGGCGACGAUCCGUAACUGGUCUGAGAGGAUGAUCAGCCACACUGGAACUGAGACACGGUCCAGACUCCUACGGGAGGCAGCAGUGGGGAAUAUUGGACAAUGGGCGAAAGCCUGAUCCAGCCAUGCCGCGUGUGUGAAGAAGGUCUUCGGAUUGUAAAGCACUUUAAGUUGGGAGGAAGGGCAGUAAGUUAAUACCUUGCUGUUUUGACGUUACCGACAGAAUAAGCACCGGCUAACUUCGUG
rnacentral:rRNA from 1 species